rnacentral:rRNA from 1 species
ACGAACGCUGGCGGCGUGCUUAACACAUGCAAGUCACGGGGGCCCAGCAAUGGGCAACCGGCGAACGGGUGCGUAACACGUGAGUGACCUGCCGAUUUGUGGGGGAUAGCCGGGCCAACGCCCGGGUAAUACCGCAUACGCUCUUCUUGGGGCAUCUCUAGAAGAGGAAACCUCCGGGGCAAAUCGAGGGACUCGCGGCCUAUCAGCUAGUUGGCGAGGUAACGGCUCACCAAGGCUACGACGGGUAGCUGGUCUGAGAGGAUGGCCAGCCACAUUGGGACUGAGAUACGGCCCAGACUCCUACGGGAGGCAGCAGUGGGGAAUAUUGCGCAAUGGCCUAACGGCUGACGCAGCGACGCCGCGUGUGGGAUGACGCCCUUCGGGGUGUAAACCACUGUUGCUCGAGACGAAUAGCGGACUUUAGUUCGCCUGACGGUAUCGAGUGAGGAAGCACCGGCUAACUCCGU